rnacentral:lncRNA from 1 species
ACCUGGCCAUGGGAAGUAGCUUGUCUAGAGUAGGAGAGAACAGAGACCUGGCAAGUGUGAAACAAAAUGGACACAGGGAAGGCAGAGAGAACAAGACAUCAUUCAUGCCCUGGAACAGAAGUAAACUUAGAGUUGGUAACAUAACUGGGCUUGUUUGUUGGGAGAAAAGAAGAUAACAACACCUCCCUUACAGGAUUACUGAGGACUGGAUGAAAUAGUGCUAGUCAAAUGCUGUGUCCACAGUCAAGUGAGUGGUGGUCCGUUCCCCUGACUCUCCCAAAGGGAUCUUGGUGCCUUUGAAUUCCUUCUUGCUCAUUGGAAUCCCACCACUGAUGGACAGUUAUUGGAGCCCUGCUCAAUUUCCUCCCAGGAGCCUUUACUUCCCAGAGGACUGGCAGGUGACGAAGGACAAGAGGACAGGGUGGAGCACUGAGCAUGUCUGGGCGCAGUUAGGAGCGGCUGACACCAUAACACCCACCUAGAAGCAGCUUCGGCCUGCUGCCCGCCUGGAGCAGGGUGCUCCCCAUAGACUGGCCAUGGAGACACCUUUGGGUGUCAUCCGUGAGACCUCGAAAAUAGAUUCCUCUCUGAGCUCUAGUCCUGUCCAACAUUGACUUCUACCCAACGUGGCAGAGCAGAAGCCACGUGGGAGACAUAAACGGAGCCCACACCCUUAGCCAAAGGCUGGCUGCCACCAGACAGCUGGCCGGGAUGCUGCUGUCAGCGGAGAAUGUGCUUGUCACCGAGAACGCCAGGAAUCCGCCUGUUCUGGGCUCUGCCUCUCCAGCUAAACGAUUUCCACUUGCUGCCUGCGUGAGG